rnacentral:snoRNA from 1 species
GACCUCCCAGGGAAACAAGCCUGGCAUGGUGCCCAUUCUAUUCACUGCUCGCUCUGCAGCUGGUGAGUGGAAGACUGCGUCAGUA